rnacentral:rRNA from 1 species
GAUGAACGCUAGCGGCAGGCUUAAUACAUGCAAGUCGAGGGGCAGCACAGAUAGCAAUAUUGGGUGGCGACCGGCAAACGGGUGCGGAACACGUACACAACCUUCCUUUUAGUGUUGGAUAGCCCAGAGAAAUUGGGAUUAAUACCACAUAGUCUAUUUGAGUGGCAUCACUUUGAUAUUAAAGAUUUAUCGCUAAAAGAUGGGUGUGCGUAUGAUUAGGUAGUUGGUAGAGGUAACGGCUCACCAAGCCUUCGAUCAUUAACUGGUGUGAGAGCACGACCAGUCACACGGGCACUGAGACACGGGCCCGACUCCUACGGGAGGCAGCAGUAAGGAAUAUUGGUCAAUGGACGGAAGUCUGAACCAGCCAUGCCGCGUGAAGGAUGACGGCCCUCUGGGUUGUAAACUUCUUUUAUGUGGGACGAAAAAGGGCCAUUUUUGGUCAACUGACGGUACCAUAGGAAUAAGCACCGGCUAACUCCGUGCCAGCAGCCGCAGUAA